rnacentral:rRNA from 1 species
ACGAACGCUGGCGGCGUGCUUAACACAUGCAAGUCGAACGGUGAAGGGACCGGUUUUUGCUGGUUCUGGAUGAGUGGCGAACGGGUGAGUAACACGUGAGUAACCUGCCCCCUUCUUCUGGAUAACCGCAUGAAAGUGUGGCUAAUACGGGAUAUUCUGCGCCUGCUGCAUGGUGGGUGUGGGAAAGAUAUUGUUUCGGUGGGGGAUGGGCUCGCGGCCUAUCAGCUUGUUGGUGGGGUGAUGGCCUACCAAGGCGGUGACGGGUAGCCGGCCUGAGAGGGUGGACGGUCACACUGGGACUGAGACACGGCCCAGACUCCUACGGGAGGCAGCAGUGGGGAAUAUUGCACAACGGGCGCAAGCCUGAUGCAGCGACGCCGCGUGAGGGAUGGAGGCCUUCGGGUUGUAAACCUCUUUCGCCAGUGAAGCAGGCCUGUCCCUUUUGUGGGUGGGUUGACGGUAGCUGGAUAAGAAGCGCCGGCUAACUACGUG